UACGAGGGGGGCGAGCGUUGUUCGGAAUUACUGGGCGUAAAGCGUGCGCAGGCGGUUCGUUGUGUCGGCGGUGAAAGCCCCGGGCUUAACCUGGGAAUGGCCGUUGAAACUGGCGAACUGGAGUGUGGCAGAGGGGGGUGGAAUUCCGCGUGUAGCAGUGAAAUGCGUAGAGAUGCGGAGGAACACCGAUGGCGAAGGCAGCCCCCUGGGCUAACACUGACGCUCAGGCACGAAAGCGUGGGGAGCAAACAGG
rnacentral:rRNA from 1 species